UCACCAAGAAACGACUUCAAUACAAAGAAGAAAUUCUAGUCAAUUGAUCUCUGUUUCAUAAGAUGCCAUGGAUUAUAAGUGCAUACAAGUUAAAGAGACAAACCAUUUUACUGUUACUCACUGAUGAAAUCUCUUCAACAUGUAAGAGUCAUUAAAAUCCAGAGGCAAGUUAAAAGUCAAGAUCACUGAGAUUGGCCUGGGAUCCAAUGGAUGACUUUGGUGUCUUUGAUGUCUGAGCACUUGCUUCAGAUUAAAACUCUUUGAAUAAAUUCUUCCUGUCCAUCCAUUCUGCCAAGGGAAGUUUCCACAUGCUUGUGAAGAGGAAUCUGGAAUUCAAAGAGGAACUGUGAUUAGGCUGGGGCAGAGGUGCAGCCAGAACGUCUUUAUCCUGCUUUUUACUCCAAUUCUUUUUCCACACAGUCCCUG